GCUUUCGUGGUGUAAUGGGCAGCACACUAGGCGCUUAUUCUAGUAAUGGGCAGCACACUAGGCGCUUAUUCUAGAGGUCCGUGGUUCGAAUCCCGGCGAGGGCA
rnacentral:tRNA from 1 species